GCUGUGACGACUUGCGUCAGGUGGCUGGUGUCAUACGCUAAAGCCUCUGCGUCGAAAUCUCGUAUUCUACAAUAUGGCAGUCCCUGUGAUCAGGACUAAUAGAUUACCUGUCAGGUGCAAUGAAGACAAAUGGAGGCAGCUGCAUCCUUUCAAGGCUGAUUCAGAGCUCUGGUUUUAAACGCGCAACAGGGCGAGGGGAUUUUUCCUCAUACAGGAGCAUCCUUUGGAAAAUGGCAUUCGGAAUCCUUUUUCUGAAAGCGCUACAGAUAAGCUGAUAAAGUAGCGGAAAAGCCCUUAAGAUGGCGACGCAAGGAAACCGAGAAUCAUGGAGUGACUUUGGAGAAGAGGGACACCUGGGACACGGCGACGAAGGGAAGCCCCAGCAGCUGCAGGAACACCCCAAUAACAAACUCGGUCAACUCCAGCGCAAAGCCACCUGAUCUCACACACACACACACACACACACACAUUUACAAAAAGAUACAUUUGCAACAAAGUACAAUAGUUUCGACCCCAAAAACCAUGAAGCAUGUGAAACACAACGCAAGGUGCUAACAUUUAUUCGCUUAGCUGCUUGAGAAAUCAAGAGAUUUAAAAAAUUGUUGGGAUGUCAAAUAUGCCAGAGUGUCUCUUAAUGACUAGAUAGCUUUGGUUUUUUUUUACACACACACGAACACACACACAUUCAUGCCUUAAUAUUCUAAUGAGGACCUCUAGAGAGAGUAAAUAUUAAUGAAUGGACAGUAAGACAAACACAAGCAUGUAUUUAUAUUUUUAUGGGGACCAAGUCCCCCUAUUAGCCCUAUAAAGACCUGUCAGGAUAAUGUCCCCACGAGGAUAGCAAUAUCUGACAAUUAUGAUUUGCCUGGAAGGUCCUCAUAAGGAUAGUAGGACAAAUGUGUGUAGGUCUGUAUGUGUCUUAUAGGGACCUGGUCCUUAUAACAAUAUAAAACCAAACACACAUUUGUCUUAUUAUCCUUAUGAGGACCGGUCAAUAAUAUAUUCUAUGCCACUGGAAGGUCCUCGUGAAGGUGUGAGUGUUAAGCAAUAUUUUUAUAGCAUUUUUAAAAUUUCAACCAAAACAAUUUUUAAUACUAAACGAAGAACGUCGAAAUCUUCUGUAAGACGUAUAGCUCACGUCCAGUGAGUCCAGAUUAGAUGCGAGACUAGCCACAGAGCUGUCAAAUUCUCCAUUCUGAUUGGUCAGAAUUAAGUCUGAGCCCUGAUUUGUUUGCUGAAACCAAAUCACAUACAGAUGUAUCGUUUCUAUAGUAACAAAAUGGAAGGAGUCUCCAGUAUCAGCACUUCCAGACAAAAGACUCUUUCGGUAGCGUGAGACGUCAUCUUCUUAUCAUCGCAAAUAAAAAAUUAAUUCAUUAAACGAC